rnacentral:rRNA from 1 species
UGAGUGCGAGCUGCUACGGCAGCGAAGUUGGUGAUGUCAUGCUUCCAAGAAAAGCCCUAUACCCGUUAAGGCAUCAUGGCCUGUACCCGAAACCGACACAGGUGGGGUGGUAGAGAAUACCGAGGGGCGCGAGGUAACUCUCUCUAAGGAACUCGGCAAAAUGGCCCCGUAACUUCGGGAGAAGGGGUGCCACCGCAAGGUGGUCGCAGUGAAGAGGCCCAGGCGACUGUUUACCAAAAACACAGGUCUCCGCUAAGUCGCAAGACGAUGUAUGGGGGCUGACGCCUGCCCAGUGCCGGAAGGUUAAGGAAGCUGGUCAGCGCAAGCGAAGCUAGCGACUGAAGCCCCGGUGAACGGCGGCCGUAACAAUAACGGUCCUAAGGUAGCGAAAUUCCUUGUCGGGUAAGUUCCGACCCGCACGAAAGGCGUAACAAUCUGGGCGCUGUCUCGGAGAGAGGCUCGGCGAAAUAGAAUUGUCUGUGAAGAUGCGGACUACGUGCACCCGGACAGAAAGACCCUAUGAAGCUUUACUGUAGCUUGGUAUUGUGCCCGGGCUCGCAAUGCGCAGGAUAGGUGGGAGGCUUUGAUCAUCGGCUUGCGGGUCGAUGUGAGCCAACGGUGAGAUACCACUCUUUGCGAGCUAGGGUUCUAACGGCCACCCGUCAUCCGGGGGCCGGACAGUACCUGGUGGGCAGUUUGACUGGGGCGGUCGCCUCCUAAAAGGUAACGGAGGCGCGCAAAGGUUUGCUCAGGCUGGUUGGAAAUCAGCCGACGAGUGUAAAAGCAGAAGCAAGCUUGACUGUGAGACCAACAAGUCGAACAGGGAGGAAACUCGGCUUUAGUGAUCCGACGGUUCUGAGUGGAAGGGCCGUCGCUCAACGGAUAAAAGUUACUCUAGGGAUAACAGGCUGAUCUCCCCCAAGAGUUCACAUCGACGGGGAGGUUUGGCACCUCGAUGUCGGCUCAUCGCAACCUGGGGCUGAAGUCGGUCCCAAGGGUUGGGCUGUUCGCCCAUUAAAGCGGUACGCGAGCUGGGUUCAGAACGUCGUGAGACAGUUCGGUCCAUAUCCGGUGCACGCGCAGGAAUAUUGAGAGGAUUUCUCCCUAGUACGAGAGGACCGGGAGGAACGCACCUCUGGUGUACCAGUUAUCGUGCCAACGGUAAACGCUGGGUAGCCAUGUGCGGAGUGGAUAACCGCUGAAAGCAUCUAAGUGGGAAGCCCACCUCAAGAUGAGUAUUCCCAUGGCGUAAGCCAGUAAGGUCACGGGAAGAACACCCGUUGAUAGGCUCUAUGUGGAAGCGCAGUAAUGCGUGAAGCAGAGGAGUACUAAUAGACCGAGGGCUUGAC